GCAAGGAAUGGAACAGACCACUCCAGGGGCUGGCCCUGAUGUGCCCCAGCUGGGAAACAUAGAUGUCAUACAUUCAUAUCUGUGUAAAGGAUUGCAAGAGAAGUUCUUCAAGAGGAAACCCAAAGUCCUUGGGGUUUUGUGUGGACAUAAGUUUUCAACUCAUUCGGGUUGUGCGGAUUCUGAUUGCCUUGAUGAGCCUUAGCAUGGGAAUAAUAAUGAUGUGUGUUGCAUUUAGUUCUUAUGAAGAACAUCCCAUUUUUGUGUAUGUUGCGUACACAAUUUGGGGGUCAGUGAUGUAUCCUUAUCAGUUGCAGCAGGAAUUAGAACAACAAAAGGUCUGGUUGGAGGUAGUCUAGGAAAGAAUAUCACCAGUUCAGUCUUGGC
rnacentral:lncRNA from 10 species